AUAUCCACGUGAACGCUGUGAUACGUCUGACCUUCAGUCCGAAGAAGAAACCCAGACCAGUCUUAAAAGAAAGCACAAACCAAAUCCCCUGUACACAUAUACGGACUCAGAGGAUGAGCAGCCUACAAAAAAACGGUUUCCCCAGGCCCCUCGAGUGAAAAUACCAGCCCUCAUCACUCCGCAGUCUGCCCCCCAGCCCACUGAUAGCAACCAUCAUAAUGCCCCACCCAGCUUCCGGCACCUUUUGCCACUCCGGCACAAACCGACACAGCUUUGCGAUCUCGCCAGCAUGCAGAGUCUGAUGUCUUCCCUAUAGAUGGUAUGCUUUUAAAAAAGCUUUAAAGCUGCAUCACAAUGUCAUUGUACUCUUAUCUUCAAAACACCAGUUUAUAC